GAAAAUUUUCUAGGGUUCGAUGGUGUGAGAGGAAAGGGGGCGACUUUGAUCCAGAGUAAGGCGACCAAGAGAGGGCGGUGAUUGUCGGCUGCCGGGGUAUGUCGUCGUCAUCGAUUGGUUCCGCCUGUUCACGCGGCAAAGCGAUUCAACGGAGAGGCGUUGAUGCUAGAUAGCCGGUGCCGUAUCGUGAGCAAUGGCACGACGACCCAACAUCUCCAUUCCUACGUGUAUUGCUGGGAGAUCUUUGAGAUAGGGUAUGGAAGCUAGAGGAUGAUGAUGCAACAUUAUCUACAGAUGGAGAUGUAGUUCCUGACGCAUUGUGUGUGGAAAUGCAGAAGAAAAGAGAACAAACUGCAUGAGAUGGUGGAGCUGGUGCAUCAGAUAGAGACAAUUUAGUUAGGAAAGGGUUGAUGCUCGUGUGUGACAUUCUGAUAUUUGUGUGAGGUUUAAUUCUAGGGAUGAUCUUUUCCUAGUCCAUUUGCUACAAAUGGAUGUGAGGUCAAGUAGUGUAUUUUGUCACAAAAUGUAUUGAAUGAAAUUCAGUUUGCAAAAUUUGCCAGGCAAUGUAUUGAAUUCAGUUUGCACAAAUUUCAGGCAAUGUACUGAAUUCAGUUUGGAAAAA